rnacentral:tRNA from 1 species
GCAUCCGUAGCUCAGCUGGAUAGAGUACUCGGCUACGAACCGAGCGGUCCGGAGGUUCGAAUCCUCCCGGAUGCACCA